UAACACGUAGGAGGCGAACGUUAUCCGGAUUUACUGGGCGUAAAGCGCGUGUAGGUGGUUUGGUAAGUAGGGCGUGAAAGCUCCCGGCUCAACUGGGAGAGGCCGUUCUAAACUGCCAAGCUAGAGGAUGGUAGAGGGAGGUGGAAUUCCGGGUGUAGCGGUGGAAUGCGCAGAUAUCCGGAGGAACACCAGUGGCGAAGGCGGCCUCCUGGGCCACUCCUGACACUCAGACGCGAAAGCUAGGGUAGCAAACGGG
rnacentral:rRNA from 1 species